rnacentral:rRNA from 1 species
UACGUAGGGCGCAAGCGUUAUCCGGAAUUAUUGGGCGUAAAGAGCUCGUAGGCGGUUUGUCGCGUCUGCCGUGAAAGUCCGGGGCUCAACUCCGGAUCUGCGGUGGGUACGGGCAGACUAGAGUGAUGUAGGGGAGACUGGAAUUCCUGGUGUAGCGGUGAAAUGCGCAGAUAUCAGGAGGAACACCGAUGGCGAAGGCAGGUCUCUGGGCCGAUACUGACGCUGAGGAGCGAAAGCGUGGGGAGCGAGCAGG